UUCUGCAGCUAUACCACCCUGAAGGCAUCUAAUAUUAUCUGCUCUCAGAAGUUAAUUGAGGCAGGUCCUGGUGGGAGGUAUGCUGAGA
rnacentral:rRNA from 14 species